rnacentral:lncRNA from 1 species
CUGUGGGAACUGACAAGGGCUGGAGCAAACCAGGUGAAAGAGCUCGGUCUGGUUUCACCUGUUGAUAGGUAACACUGGAAGCCACCCAAUUCUGAACGAACGACUUGAGACCCAAUCAGGCAAAAACUUGCUUGAUCUUCCUGUAAGUGACGGGCACGCCAGAGUGGCCACCAACGGGGCUAUGGUGGAAGGCAGUAACCAACUUGUGGUGAAGCUGAGGAUCAGAGGCAACCCAAAAUCUGUUCUUGUACCACAAAAGACCAUCCUUGAGGGAGAAGUGGGGAACAGAGGAGGCAUCCAGGGGAAGUUUAACCAAUAGUUCAUGAUCCUUCGGGUCAUGCAAAUAAGAAUCAGCCACUGAUGAAGCCCAUGAUGGUGCUACGGUGGAAAUGGCUGCACAACUGGAAUCACGAGAAGGCUUUCUAGAGAGAGCAUUUGUUGCACAGUUUUCACUACCUUUCUUGUAGGCAACUGAAUAUUGUAGCCC